GUGCCAGCAGCCGCGGUAAUACGGAGGAUGCAAGCGUUGUUCGGAAUCACUGGGCUUAAAGCGCGUGUAGGCGGAGUGUUAGGUGUCGUGUGAAAUCCCCGGUCUCAACCCGGGAACUGCGCGGCAUACCGGCAUUCUUGAGGCAAGCAGAGGUGACUGGAACGACGGGUGGAGCGGUGAAAUGCGUAGAUAUCCGUUGGAACGCCGGCGACGAAGGUGAGUCACUGGGCUUGUCCUGACGCUGAGACGCGAAAGCGUGGGUAGCAAACAGGAUUAGAAACCCUCGUAGUCC
rnacentral:rRNA from 1 species